GUGCUUCAGAUGCGCAUUUCAAUCAUAGUUUAAAUGGUUCUAGUUGAUGUGGUGAGUUUUUAUGCUCUAAAUCAGAAUCUCUGUGUCACGACUACGGACUUACGAGGGAAGGAAGCGCAGAGGUUUGACAUACUGGGAAGGGGGUUUUAUUAUAACAAACAAUAAAGAAAUAAACAAUGGCGCGGUGGCCAAAAACGGGAAAUAAAAGGGAAAAACUCAAACUAACCCGUAGGCGUGUGGCGAUUGCCAGAACUCAAAACACAUGAAACGAAACUAGGUCAAGUUCGUGCAGAGUGUUCACGAAAAUGCCAGCGACCCCGAACGGGCGAAAACUUCCGGCAUUUAUGGGGCGUCAGGAUUGCAUUCCGGUGUGGAGCCCAGCUGCAGGCAAUCCUGACAGAGCCCCCCCUCCAAGGGCUACGUCCUCGGAGCCCCAACAGUACCAUCAGUGGAGGCGGCGGGGCGGACGGCGGCAACCACAGGGCUCCUGCCCUGCUGUAUCCUCCCCUUGGAGGACCCGGUCCCUCGGGCUGGCUCCCCGGCGUGGUCAGGCGUGGCGGCCCCGGUCCCUCGGGCUGGCUCCCCGGCGUGGUCAGGCGUGGCGGCCCCGGUCCCUCGGGCUGGCUCCCCGGCGUGGUCAGGCGUGGCGGCCCCGGUCCCUCGGGCUGGCUCCCCCGGCGUGGUCAGGCGUGGCGGCCCCGGUCCCUCGGGCUGGCUCCCCGGCGUGGUCAGGCGUGGCGGCCCCGGUCCCUCGGGCUGGCUCCCCGGCGUGGUCAGGCGUGGCGGCCCCGGUCCCUCGGGCUGGCUCCCCGGCGUGGUCAGGCGUGACGGCCCCGGUGCCUCGGGCUGGCUCCCCGGCGUGGUCAGGCGUGGCGGCCCCGGUGCCUCGGGCUGGCUCCCCGGCGUGGUCAGGCGUGGCGGCCCCGGACCCUCGGCCUGGCUCCCCGGCGUGGUCCCGCUUGGCGGCCCCGGACCCUCGGCCUGGCUCCCCGGCGUGGUCCCGCAUGGCGGCCCCGGACCCUCGGCCUGGCUCCCCGGCGUGGUCCCGCAUGGCGGCCCCGGACCCUCGGCCUGGCUCCCCGGCGUGGUCCCGCAUGGCGGCCCCGGACCCUCGGCCUGGCUCCCCGGCGUGGUCCCGCAUGGCGGCCCCGGACUCCCGUACCUGCACACAAUAAUCAGGGCCGAUCCAUCUGGGUACGUGUGGGCCCUGUCUCCACAUGUCCCCUCUGACACGUCUUGUGUCACCCCCUGCACCGCGCAGGGAGAUUGUCC
rnacentral:lncRNA from 1 species